rnacentral:rRNA from 1 species
UGCCUCAGUAACGGCGAGUGAAGCGGCAAGAGCUCAAAUUUGAAAUCUGGCCCCUUCGGGGUCCGAGUUGUAAUUUGUAGAGGAUGCUUCGGGUGCGGCCCCUGUCGAAGUGCCCUGGAACGGGCCGUCGGAGAGGGUGAGAAUCCCGUCUGGGAUGGGGUGUCCGCGCCCGUGUGAAGCUCCCUCGACGAGUCGAGUUGUUUGGGAAUGCAGCUCUAAGUGGGUGGUAAAUUUCAUCUAAAGCUAAAUACCGGCCGGAGACCGAUAGCGCACAAGUAGAGUGAUCGAAAGAUGAAAAGCACCUUGAAAAGGGAGUUAAACAGCACGUGAAAUUGUUGAAAGGGAAGCGCUGACGACCAGACUCGUCCGCGGGGUUCAGCCGGCAUUCGUGCCGGUGUACUUCCCCGCGGGCGGGCCAGCGUCGGUUUGGGCGGCCGGUCAAAGGCCCCCGGAAUGUAGCGCCCUUCGGGGCGCCUUAUAGCCGGGGGUGCAAUGCGGCCAGCCUGGACCGAGGAACGCGCUUCGGCACGGACGCUGGCAUAAUGGUCGUUAACGACCCGUCUUGAAACACGGACCAAGGAGUCUAACAUCUACGCGAGUGUUCGGGUGGCAAACCCGUGCGCGCAGUGAAAGCGAACGGAGGUAGGAGCCCCCUUGCGGGGCGCACUAUCGACCGAUCCUGAUGUCUUCGGAUGGAUUUGAGUAGGAGCGUAGCUGUGGGGACCCGAAAGAUGGUGAACUAUGCCUGAAUAGGGCGAAGCCAGGGGAAACUCUGGUGGAGGCUCGCAGCGGUUCUGACGUGCAAAUCGAUCGUCAAAUUUGGGUAUAGGGGCGAAAG